rnacentral:RNase_P_RNA from 1 species
AACGGCAACCGGUCUAUCGCCGGCCUUCGGGCGGGAGGAAAGUCCGGGCAACACGAGCCACCAUACUUCCUAACAGGAAGGGGCAAAGGAGGAAAGAGCCUAUGCUACAGCAAGUGCCACAGAAAACAUACCGCCACGGCUUUCGGGCCGCGGUAAGGGUGAAAACGCGAGGUAAGAGCUCACGACGGUCUGCAGUGAUGCAGGCCGGUGGUAAACCUUAUGGGUUGAAAGACCAAAUAUACCGACAGUCAAGGGCCGGCUCGCCCGAAAUUAAAGCAGGUCGUCAGCCUCAGCCGACACCUGCCUCUGUCGGAGGGUGGGUUGAUAGAGGCCGUCGGUGACGGCGGCAGUAGAUAAAUGAUAGAGCGGCCGUAAUUACGGCUGAACAGAACCCGGCUUAUAGGUUGCCGUUUUUU